AACCAGUGAUGAAAGUUGAUUCUGCCAGAUGAGACCUCGUGAUAUUAACUCUAUACCGUUCCACUUGCUGAGGUU